GCGGUAAGGCCCCUUCGGGGGUACACGAGCGGCGAACGGGUGAGUAACGCGUGGGUAACCUGCCCAGAAGUGGGGGAUAGCCCCGGGAAACCGGGGGUAAUACCGCAUGUGCUCCUGCCGACGCAAGUCGGCUUUUGGAAAGACGGGGAUCCUUCGGGACCUGUCGCUUCUGGAUGGGCCCGCGUCCGAUUAGCUAGUUGGUAGGGUAACGGCCUACCAAGGCGACGAUCGGUAGCCGGCCUGAGAGGGUGAACGGCCACAUUGGGACUGAGACACGGCCCAGACUCCUACGGGAGGCAGCAGUGGGGAAUCUUGGGCAAUGGGCGCAAGCCUGACCCAGCGACGCCGCGUGGAGGAUGAAGGCCUUCGGGUUGUAAACUCCUGUCAGGUGGGAAGAAAUCUCCGCCGGCCAAUACCCGGCGGCGUUGACGGUACCACCAAAGGAAGCCCCGGCUAACUCCGUGCCAGCAGCCGCGGUAAUACGGAGGGGGCAAGCGUUAUUCGGAUUUACUGGGCGUAAAGCGCACGUAGGCGGCAUUGCAAGUCGUAGGUGAAAGCCC
rnacentral:rRNA from 1 species